rnacentral:rRNA from 1 species
CAGCCGCCGCGGGAAUACAGAGGGUGCGAGCGUUAAUCGGAUUUACUGGGCGUAAAGCGUGCGUAGGCGGCUUUUUAAGUCGGAUGUGAAAUCCCUGAGCUUAACUUAGGAAUUGCAUUCGAUACUGGGAAGCUAGAGUAUGGGAGAGGAUGGUAGAAUUCCAGGUGUAGCGGUGAAAUGCGUAGAGAUCUGGAGGAAUACCGAUGGCGAAGGCAGCCAUCUGGCCUAAUACUGACGCUGAGGUACGAAAGCAUGGGGAGCAAACAGGAUUAGAUACCCCAGUAUUCCCUGUCUCUUAUAC